GUGAAUCAUCGAAUCUUUGAACGCACCUUGCGCCCUCUGGUAUUCCGGAGGGCAUGCCUGUCUGAGUGUCAUGACAACCUCAACCCCACCGGGUCUUCCUGUGUGGGAUUGGAUCUGGGCGUCUGCCGUCUUUAACAAACGGCUCGCCUUAAAAGUCUCAGUGGGACCGACCUUUUGUGUCGACGUGUUAAGUCUUCGUCGUCUUCUGGGCCCGGGCCUGCUCAUAACCCGCCUUCUGGGCAAUACACUCUUGACUUUGACCUCAGAUCAGGUAGGACUACCCGCUGAACUUAAGCAUAU
rnacentral:misc_RNA from 1 species